AACGCAUAUUGCGCUCUCUGGUAUUCCGGAGAGCAUGCUUGUUUGAGUAUCUGUAAACAUCUCAAAUCUCUCAGCGCUUGCGUUUGAGAGGAUUGGAUUUGAGCGAUCCCGACUCUUUCAUUAGAGAGAGUCGGGUCGCUUGAAAUGCAGGUGCAGCUGGACAUUCUUCUGAGCUAAAAGCAUAUCUAUUUAGUCCCGUCAAAAGGAUUAUUACUUUUGCUUCAGCUAAUAUAAAGGUCGAAUGAACUACCAACGCUGAUUGCAGGAAAACUUGUUCAUAACUGAACUUGUAAACUCGAUCUCAAAUCAAGUAAGACUACCCGCUGAACUUAA
rnacentral:misc_RNA from 1 species